GAGCCGUAGCGAAAGCGAGUUUUAACUGAGCGUUCAGUUACUUGACGUAGACCCGAAACCGGGCGACCUACCCAUGAGCAGGAUGAAGCGAAAGGAAAAUUUCGUGGAGGUCCGAACCCACGAGCGUUGAAAAGCUCGGGGAUGACUUGUGGGGAGCGGUGAAAUUCCAAUCGAGCCCGGAGAUAGCUGGUUCUCCCCGAAAUAGCUUUAGGGCU
rnacentral:rRNA from 1 species